rnacentral:rRNA from 1 species
AAAUUGAAGAGUUUGAUCAUGGCUCAGAUUGAACGCUGGCGGCAGGCCUAACACAUGCAAGUCGAGCGGUAGCACAGAGAGCUUGCUCUCGGGUGACGAGCGGCGGACGGGUGAGUAAUGUCUGGGAAACUGCCUGAUGGAGGGGGAUAACUACUGGAAACGGUAGCUAAUACCGCAUAACGUCGCAAGACCAAAGUGGGGGACCUUCGGGCCUCAUGCCAUCAGAUGUGCCCAGAUGGGAUUAGCUAGUAGGUGGGGUAACGGCUCACCUAGGCGACGAUCCCUAGCUGGUCUGAGAGGAUGACCAGCCACACUGGAACUGAGACACGGUCCAGACUCCUACGGGAGGCAGCAGUGGGGAAUAUUGCACAAUGGGCGCAAGCCUGAUGCAGCCAUGCCGCGUGUGUGUGAAGAAGGCCUUCGGGUUGUAAAGCACUUUCAGCGGGGAGGAAGGCGUUAAGGUUAAUAACCUUGGCGAUUGACGUUACCCGCAGAAGAAGCACCGGCUAACUCCGUGCCAGCAGCCGCGGUAAUACGGAGGGUGCAAGCGUUAAUCGGAAUUACUGGGCGUAAAGCGCACGCAGGCGGUCUGUCAAGUCGGAUGUGAAAUCCCCGGGCUCAACCUGGGAACUGCAUUCGAAACUGGCAGGCUAGAGUCUUGUAGAGGGGGGUAGAAUUCCAGGUGUAGCGGUGAAAUGCGUAGAGAUCUGGAGGAAUACCGGUGGCGAAGGCGGCCCCCUGGACAAAGACUGACGCUCAGGUGCGAAAGCGUGGGGAGCAAACAGGAUUAGAUACCCUGGUAGUCCACGCCGUAAACGAUGUCGAUUUGGAGGUUGUGCCCUUGAGGCGUGGCUUCCGGAGCUAACGCGUUAAAUCGACCGCCUGGGGAGUACGGCCGCAAGGUUAAAACUCAAAUGAAUUGACGGGGGCCCGCACAAGCGGUGGAGCAUGUGGUUUAAUUCGAUGCAACGCGAAGAACCUUACCUGGUCUUGACAUCCACAGAACUUUCCAGAGAUGGAUUGGUGCCUUCGGGAACUGUGAGACAGGUGCUGCAUGGCUGUCGUCAGCUCGUGUUGUGAAAUGUUGGGUUAAGUCCCGCAACGAGCGCAACCCUUAUCCUUUGUUGCCAGCGGUUCGGCCGGGAACUCAAAGGAGACUGCCAGUGAUAAACUGGAGGAAGGUGGGGAUGACGUCAAGUCAUCAUGGCCCUUACGACCAGGGCUACACACGUGCUACAAUGGCAUAUACAAAGAGAAGCGACCUCGCGAGAGCAAGCGGACCUCAUAAAGUAUGUCGUAGUCCGGAUUGGAGUCUGCAACUCGACUCCAUGAAGUCGGAAUCGCUAGUAAUCGUAGAUCAGAAUGCUACGGUGAAUACGUUCCCGGGCCUUGUACACACCGCCCGUCACACCAUGGGAGUGGGUUGCAAAAGAAGUAGGUAGCUUAACCUUCGGGAGGGCGCUUACCACUUUGUGAUUCAUGACUGGGGUGAAGUCGUAACAAGGUAACCGUAGGGGAACCUGCGGUUGGAUCACCUCCUUACCUUAAAGAA